rnacentral:rRNA from 1 species
GAUGAACGCUAGCGGCAGGCUUAACACAUGCAAGUCGAGGGGUAUAGUAGCAAUACUAGAGACCGGCGCACGGGUGCGUAACGCGUAUGCAAUCUACCUUUUACAGAGGGAUAGCCCAGAGAAAUUUGGAUUAAUACCUCAUAGCAUUGCGAAAUGGCAUCAUUUUGCAAUUAAAGUCACAACGGUAAAAGAUGAGCAUGCGUCCCAUUAGCUAGUUGGUAAGGUAACGGCUUACCAAGGCAACGAUGGGUAGGGGUCCUGAGAGGGAGAUCCCCCACACUGGUACUGAGACACGGACCAGACUCCUACGGGAGGCAGCAGUGAGGAAUAUUGGACAAUGGGCGCAAGCCUGAUCCAGCCAUGCCGCGUGCAGGAUGACGGUCCUAUGGAUUGUAAACUGCUUUUGUACGAGAAGAAACACUCCGACGUGUCGGAGCUUGACGGUAUCGUAAGAAUAAGGAUCGGCUAACUCCGUG